AUACACAGUUCAGCCAUAGCAGGAUCAGUGCAAAUUUUGACAUGCAAUCACUGGACGUGACUUGGCCAAUCGGGGGUAAGGGAGAAUACACGUUGUCACCGAUUCGUCAUUUAUAUUAAAAAAAUGGUUUCUUUUAAAAUUGAAAUAGUGUUGUGGUUGGCUCAGAAUUGUAGCGUUGUUUUCGAAUUUUUGAAAUUUUUGGAUUCUAUUUUCAUUUUUUUAUUCUUUUUGUUAGAGAUUCUCAUUGUGACGUCAUAAUUUUGAAUGAUGUGGUACAUUUAAUUUCUUUUUUGCUUUGGUAGACAAAUCGAUAACUGAAUGUAUUCAUGCUUAAUGCUGUACAAUUUGUGGAUAUUUAAGCUUUAUUUACAAUUUUUUCUUAAUUGAUUAUCAUUCAAUUUGGUGUUAAAUAGUGAGAUUUUUGAGUGUCUUGCCAAAAUAAGUACGUGUGUUCAUGUGUAAAUAAAUUGUGUAGAAUAAUAUAAUUGAAAUGUCAAAAAUAAUUUCAUAAAACAGUAAAAAUACCUUUGAAUUAUUUAUAUAUGUAUUUUCCUAUUGUAAUACGUUGUAGGGAUCAAAAUCGUAAAGAGGUCCUUUAUCAACUACUAAAAUUAUUCAUGAACCGUUUUUGGUUAAUAAGUAAGUAAGUAAGUCAUAUUGAAUGCUAUUUGUGACAGAAAGGGGAAUAUUUUAAAAUGGCAUAAUGUGUACAACGGUCAAAUAACAUCUGUCUAGAUGAAUACUGUGAAUACAACCCAUACAUGUUUUAACUGGAGUUCUGAGCUGGAUAUACAAUGUGAUAGGGUUGAGACUUCUAACCCGUUAAGGCUGAGUACUACAUCUAAUUUUAUCGACAAAAGUCGGGGGUCGAAGGGGUCGAAUCCCCUCCCCCUAAAAAUUAUGGCUAUUUUAAUAUUUUUUUUACUUUUUUUGAUAUCAAAGGUAGUAUGCGUCGUAGAAACAAAAAAAAAACGACAAACGGUAGCUAAUAACCUUGGCUAACUAAUUCAUUACUUUUUCUUUAUUUUCAAUUAGGGGUUCAACCCCCCAUAUUAUUAUUUUUGUCGAUAAAAUUAGGUGUAGUACUCAGCCUUAACGGGUUAGAAGUCCCACGCCUAUCACAUUAUAUAUUACGUAGAGUACAUAGAACUUCUAUCGAUUGAUUUAAAUAUGAACAAUAAUGAACUAAGAGCCGUGUAAAGACUUUCUUCAGUUGUCUCAUUAAAUUGGUAAGGAGCAAGCAGGAUAUCUUAACAUGAGGUCGUGUCUAAUUCCCGGGUAGGUCAAAAUGUUAUUGAGACUUACAAUUUCCAAAUUCUAAGUAAGUGUUUGACUGCCAAUAGAAAACUGUUGAAGACAAAUCCUCCGCUAACGUCGGUCACCGGUGACCACCACGGCGUUCAAUGUGUUAAUAAAUACUUUUUUAUACAAAAAGUAUUUAUAUUAACAAAAUGCACUCUCUCCAGAAAAGUCUGUAUUAAACGAAGUCAAACAAAGGUAAUAUUAGACCAUGACUAUGACAAUACUUCCAAUUGAUAAAAAACCUCUUUACAGAUCCUUCUCAAAGCGCCGCGAAAUAUUUACUGACAUGGAAUAGAAAAAAACUAGUCUGUAUUCUGUGUUUACUAACUAACCUUAAAAAUCUUGAAGUUAAAGCAAAAGAUCGCGUUUUGGAACAAAAAAUAUCUAUUUACAAAUACUUACGUCGUGCAAUGCAUGCAUUACUGAGAAUGUGGUGUCGGUCCUAGCGGCUAAACGUGCGACACUAACAUGCCAAUUGGAAUACACAAUAGUAUGUAUUAGCCCAAUCAGCCAUAACUACCAUCUCGAUCAUGAAAUACAUGAAACAUUCAUAUAAAUCAAAGGCCUUUUGAAAGGGGACAACUCGUUUUGAAACCUGAAGACUAAAAGUUUUCUAUGGAGAAGAUAUUCCGUAAUUGUAUCAAUAGCAAAGAACAGUUGUCCCCUUUCUGCUGGCUACCAAGCUACUGAUGCACAUGAGUUCCUUACGGUCCUGGGCGCCGGCAGCUUCGGGUGGCGUGUGCGGCGGUGAAGCGAACACCGGUGGAGCCGUGGUCAGCGGUGGCCAUUCUUCGCCACCACUCAGGGGCUCGCCGUUCUAGUUAUUCGAAACCAUUUUAUGUACCCGAAAUAUAUAAAACUAAGUUAUAAUUGAAAAUCAAUGCUUUGAAGUAACAGCGAUUUGGAUAAAGCUGAAAAACAAACCCGUAGAGCUCAAGAAAAUGCUGUAAAAACCUUUCCCGUCUGCCUGAAGAUCGAAUUCAGGACUACCAUCACCAGUGUUUACUAUAAUUCACCCGUAGGACGGCCUACCUCAUCGCACUCCUCCACGAUCAGAGAUGGGAAGUUGCCCACCACUCCGUUGGCUUCUCCGCGCCACCAGCCAUCAUCGACGCCGUGAGCUUCGCGGGACAGAAUGCGGAUAAUCUGUACAAAGAGAAGUGUUAUGAAG